rnacentral:rRNA from 1 species
UGAGGAAUAUUGGUCAAUGGGUGAGAGCCUGAACCAGCCAAGUAGCGUGCAGGAUGACGGCCCUAUGGGUUGUAAACUGCUUUUAUGUGGGGAUAAAGUGCGUGACGUGUCAUGCAUUGCAGGUACCACAUGAAUAAGGACCGGCUAAUUCCGUGCCAGCAGCCGCGGUAAUACGGAAGGUCCGGGCGUUAUCCGGAUUUAUUGGGUUUAAAGGGAGCGUAGGCUGUCUAUUAAGCGUGUUGUGAAAUAUACCGGCUCAACCGGUGGCUUGCAGCGCGAACUGGUCGACUUGAGUAUGCAGGAAGUAGGCGGAAUUCAUGGUGUAGCGGUGAAAUGCUUAGAUAUCAUGACGAACUCCGAUUGCGCAGGCAGCUUACUGCAGCAUAACUGACGCUGAUGCUCGAAAGUGCGGGUAUCAAACAGG